AUAUUUAGCACAUACAUUAAAAUUGGAAUAAUACAGAGAAGACCAGCAUGGCCCCUGCACAAUGACAUGCAAAUUCAAGAAGAAUUCCAUAUUAAU
ensembl:snRNA U6 U6 spliceosomal RNA